UGUAAAAAAUGACACAAAUCGAU
rnacentral:snRNA from 1 species